CGGGCGUGAGGGAGGAAUGGUUCUGGUGGGGAGGAAUGGUAAAAGUCAUCGAGUUUCACCCCUGCCGUGGGUGUAAGGGACAGCUUGCACUAGAGCAGGUUGCUUCGAGCGCUGUCCGGCUUGGCCUUGAACGCUCCCAGGGUCACUGUUCCGUUGCACUACCUCACAACGAAAAUUUCCUCCAAAUGUCUGCUCACAGGAUGGAGAAGACCCUUGAGAUCACCGAGUCCAACCUAUGACCUAACACCACCUUGCCAGUUAGACCAUGGCACUAAGUGCCACCUUUCCUAAACACCUCCAGCAAUGGUGACUAAACAAAUCCAAACCUCCUCUCUGUCCCUGUGAAGCCAUCCCCCCUUGUCCUGUUCCCUUCAGGAGCAGCAGAAGCUGAGUCAGGGCAGGUUCAGGUUGGACAUGAGGGACAGUUUUCCACCCAGAGGGUGGCUGGGCACUGAUCAGGCUCCUCAGGGAGGAGGUCACAGCCUGUCUGAGCUCAAGGAGCGUUUGGAGAGUGUUUUCAUGGUGGGAUUUUUGGGGUGUCCUGUGCAGGGCCAGGAGUUGGACUCGAUGAUCCUGGUGGGUCCCUUCCAACUCAGCACAUUCUGUGAUUCUAUACAGGAAGGCUGCAAUUGGCUCAUCCUGAAGUCUUCUCCAGGCUGAACAAUUCUCCCAGCCUUUCCUCACAUCAGAUCUGCCCCAACCCUCGAGUCAUCUUGGUCCAAUCAUCACAGCUCCGUGGCCUGUGCAGAGAAUUCCAGAUUCUGGGCAAUGUUUUAAUUCUUACUGACUGCUUCUCUUCUACUUCACCAAAUGGCCAGGAAAGCUGUGAGGCAUGCUGGAGACUGAAGCCCAGAGGACACAGGCUGAAAGUGCAAACCGUUCCAUAUUUUCGGAAAAUUAGGAACGCAGCCUGCUAGAUAUGAAGGGAAGUUUGGCCUCAGGGAGGUUAUGCAAGGUCGGUCGCUUCCCUCCAUCUGAGCACUUUCCCUGGAUUGCAUUCCUUCACGUUAUGAACUUUAGUUACACAACUCGAAGCAACUGUUAUCUUGAUUCAGGCAAUAUUGCCAUGGAAAUUAAUGAGAACUAUUGGUAGUCCAUCCUUUACUAUUAAUAAUAACUAACUGAAAGUGCAGUUGCUUGGGAGCAGUGCAGGGCUGAUGCAUAUGAGAAAAGAUUCAAAACGCCUCUCAGCCGUGCUGGAAUGCAGCUCAAGCUCCUGAAAUUUCAGCAGGCAGGAACUUGCUCUGGUUUCUUUUGUUUGCAUCCCAGGCAGUGAAGAAAAGUGAAGCCAUCCUGACUUCUUACUGUCCAUCAAGUCUCAUCUUCAGAGCUGCUGUACUAAAGAGAGGAGAUUGUCAGCAGUUCAUGACAAGAGAAUGUGUUCACUCAAGGUCUUGCUGCUAAGCUGUGCAUUUAUUAAAAUAUGUGGAAAAGGGAUGAGAGUUUGGGUUCAGACACACUGAAGUGCUUCAAGAGCCAUUCCCUCACAAAUCAAUCCUGUCUGAGUCAGUGGAAUUUUUUAUGUACUACUCACUGCAUUGAAAUAAAUACCUGCUUCCUAAACCUUCAAAGCCAUGGAAAUGGUCCCAAACGAUAACACUGCCAGCAUGAUGGAAAUAAUAAUAAGCAUGAUGAGUGACAAACAGUUAAUGGAACAGAGUUGUGCCCUGGGGACAUUGAUUCUGGUUUGCACAGAGUUUUUAUUUAAUGCAUCACAGGCAUUUCACUAGGUGUCACCAUUUUUGCUUUCCCUUGUCAGUCUAGGGAGAGACAAACUGGUAAAGCUGGGUGUGAGGAUGUGUGAACUCCUUCACCCCUCUUUUCUUAAAAGUAACUGUGACCCCCAAGUUCAGCAGACCUGGCUGUGCCCAUCCAUUACAGUUGUACAUAUUUUUGUGAGCUCCCUGGACAGCUUGUACUGGGGAAACAGUGAACAGGAGGAAAAAUUUCUCUACAUAUCUCUGGAGACCUUAAAGCCCUUUAUAACGGCAGGGAAGACACUAAUAAUCCCAAAAUGCAGUAUAAAUACUGAGGCUCACAAAAUGCCAGAG